rnacentral:rRNA from 1 species
UACGGGGGGGGGCAAGCGUUUGUUCGGAAUUACUGGGCGUAAAGGGCGCGUAGGCGGCCUGCUAAGUCGGAUGUGAAAUCCCUCGGCUCAACCGAGGAACUGCAUCCGAUACUGGCGGGCUUGAAUCCGGGAGAGGGAUGUGGAAUUCCAGGUGUAGCGGUAGAAAUGCGUAGAUAUCUGGAGGAACACCGGUGGCGAAGGCGGCAUCCUGGACCGGUAGUUGACGCUGAGGCGCGAAAGCUAGGGGAGCAAACGGGG